rnacentral:rRNA from 1 species
GAUGAACGCUGGCGGCGUGCCUAAUACAUGCAAGUCGAGCGAACAGACGAGGAGCUUGCUCCUCUGACGUUAGCGGCGGACGGGUGAGUAACACGUGGAUAACCUACCUAUAAGACUGGGAUAACUUCGGGAAACCGGAGCUAAUACCGGAUAAUAUAUUGAACCGCAUGGUUCAAUAGUGAAAGACGGUUUUGCCGCCACUUAUAGAUGGAUCCGCGCCGCAUUAGCUAGUUGGUAAGGUAACGGCUUACCAAGGCAACGAUGCGUAGCCGACCUGAGAGGGUGAUCGGCCACACUGGAACUGAGACACGGUCCAGACUCCUACGGGAGGCAGCAGUAGGGAAUCUUCCGCAAUGGGCGAAAGCCUGACGGAGCAACGCCGCGUGAGUGAUGAAGGUCUUCGGAUCGUAAAACUCUGUUAUUAGGGAAGAACAAAUGUGUAAGUAACUAUGCACGUCUUGACGGUACCUAAUCAGAAAGCCACGGCUAACUACGUG